AACUUAUGACCAAUGAGCUGUGGUGAGAACGGUUAGGGAGUGUGGUGGGAACUCUCCUCCCAUUACUCUUCUCCCUACCUGGGAACCAAAGCAGCCUCGGGGAGGGGCCGCCCGGCCGACUACUGUCUGAAUGAACACCAAACAAAAACUCUCACCAACAGGUGAGUUACACGAGUCACUGUUGGUUUUUCUCUACUCUAUUCUCUUUUUUUGCUUUCCCCCCUCCCCCAUCAUUUUGUUUUUCAUUCAAGGCUGGCACGCUGCUUUACAUUUUGGCAGCACUGAAAAAAAGGACACAGAGAAACAAAACAGUCAAAGUGUGGGAACUUUUUCUCCUUCCUUUUUUCUUCUUCCAGGAGCUUUUAUCAGUAUUAACUCUGCUUACACAGGUAUUUGUGCACCUGUGGCACUGAAUUAGUGGAUCAGCUUCUUCAUUGUGUUGUAAAAUAAGCACUGUGAAUUACUUUUUUUUAAAUUCCAGGAUUCUGCCUGAAAACACGCUUAAUCCUUCACUGAGCAGCUGUAAGAGCUGGGGGGGGGGUUUCUUUUUUUUUUUUUAAGAAAACUGUGGUCUUGUUUCACUUUUACUGCUGGUGCAGAUCUUUUAUAGUUCUUAUUUAUUGUAAGUGCAUAGUUACAUAUCUCUCUUAUUUUACCCAUAACUGUUGUUUGAAAGGUUGAUAAAAGAUGCUUUUGUCCCACUGAUCUCAAUCUCUUCCAGUCAACAACCUCUGGGUGUGAGAAAUUAGGCCAACACGUGUUAAAAUGGCCCACUUAAAACAUAAUAUAAUGAAUACAUUUAGAGCAUGGCACAAUGAAUGACAUUGAACUCUAUGGAGAGUUUGUCCCUUUCAUAACAACUGCACAGGGAUUAGAUUUUUCAAAAACUCACCCAUCUGGAUUUUUUGGAGGCUCAAAGUUGAGGCGUGGCCGCUUUGAUUGACAGGUGUGCCGACCUAUAAAUCUCUGCUAGGCCUCAUCUCCAGUAAUUCACGUCACUGAACUGCAUAUUUUGAUUGGAUC
ensembl:lncRNA